rnacentral:lncRNA from 1 species
UGUUUAGGGUUUUGAAUUCACCCUCAACCAAAUAAAAAUUUAGCCUAACAUAAUUGAAUUGGGAAUAAGAGAAUUAACAAAACCAAUCAUGGAGAUUAAUUCAAGCGGCUGCCUUUGGUUUAACUUAAUUCCAGCUGCUGGUUUUUUUCUUCUCCUUGCGGCUGCUGAUUUUCCUCUGCCCGAAUUGCGUCUGCCCUCCUCCCUCUCGCUCUCUGGCAGCUCUCCUUUUAUAAUGCUAGUUGACCGAAUUCUUCUCCAACAAGUCUAAAGAAAUCCUUUUUCAAUUCUAAUUGAAAUCCUUUUCCAAUUUAAUCUUUAUUCCUUCUCAAUUUGAACUUCUUCAUGUCCUUUUUAUCCACAAUCUCCAAUUAAUUCCCUAUUCAAUAAAAUAAUACAAUUAAUUAAAAAUAAUAAAUAAAAAUAACUAGUAAAUAUAUAAUAAAGGGUAAAAUAUGUAUAUUAAUUAAUUCCCUAUUCAAUUAAAAAUUAACUAAAAUAACUAGAAUAUUUAAGAUCAAAACAAGAAAAAGAUGGAGAAAUUAAUAACAAAAUAUAUGAAAAAUAUGCACUUAUCAGGAGUAAUAAAAUAAAUAAAACCAAUCAUGAAAAGCCGAAGUGCUGCUGCCGCUACCCUCUAUUCUCUCUGUCUCGCAUCCUCCCUUUUGUUUCCGUCCUCUGGCGGCUACCUCAUUCAAAAGCCAAAACUCUCUUUUUAUAAUGCUUAGCCACCGAAUCCUCUUUGUCUACUAAUUAAAAUCCUUUUUCAAUUAUAAAACAAAGCUUCCAUAAUAACGCCACCAUAAGACAUUAAUUCCACUUUUGAAAGUCAAGUGUGGGCCCCAUUUAAAUUGCUUUUCACUUUUGCAAUGACAUGCAUGUCUAACUCAAUUGG